rnacentral:rRNA from 1 species
UACGUAGGGUGCGAGCGUUGUCCGGAAUUAUUGGGCGUAAAGCGCUUGUAGGCGGCACGUCAAGUCGCGUGUGAAAUCCCCAGGCUUAACCUGGGAAGUGCGCGCGAAACUGACGAGCUUGAGUGCCGGAGAGGGUCGCGGAAUUCCCGGUGUAGAGGUGAAAUUCAUAGAUAUCGGGAGGAACACCGGUGGCGAAGGCGGGUCUCUGGGCCGAUACUGACACUGAGGAGCGAAAGCGUGGGGAGCGAACAGG